UUCUCUGCUCAAAACCCUCCAAUGGCUUAUUUCCCUAUGAGAUCACUAUCCCCAGCCAUCUCUCUGACCUCUCCUAUUAGCCUCUCUCUCACUUCCUCUGCACCAUGGCCUUCUAGCUAUUCCACAAACAGGCCACCCACAUCCCUGCCUCAGGGCCCUUGCACCUGAUUCUCCAUCCAAGAUUCUCUUCCCCCAGGUACAGGCACAGCUUUCUCCUUCAGGUGUCUGUUCUAACACUUCAUCAGGAAGAACUUCCCUGAUCAGCUUCGGUAAGAUAGUAACCCCUUUCUCACGGUCUAUUUCCUCUAUCUUGCCUUAUUCUUCUUCACAGCAUUCAUCACCACUUGACACAUUAUAAAUUUGUUUAUGCUGUCUCCCCUAUUCUACCAGGGGCUUCAUGCGAGCAGAGAUUUGACUUUGUCAACUGCUGCAACCUCAGAUCCCAAAGAGAACCAGGCACUCAGCAGGUACCCAGAAGUAUUUAUAGAAUGAACCAGUGAACACUCCAAGGUACAUCAGUCUCAGGGACCAAUCCACACCACAGUGGAGGGGAGAGGUGUCAGCUCCAUGUCAGGGGCACAGGCCUCACUGUGGACUUCCCCAGAUGCAAGCAGAUGGGUCAGGGACCCUUCAAUGACACAUGUGACAGGACCUAUUCUAAAAAGCACCAAGCCACCCUACAUAGUAACAAAAAUCACAUCGGAACAAUCCUAACAACAAAAGCAUCCACUGAGGCUUACUAUGUGCUGAGUUUCACAAGGUGCCAAAUUCUCUCACUCAGCAAACAAUAACUAAGCACCUAAUGGGCACCCGCUGGCAUCAGAUACAGUGGUGGCAAAGUAUGUCUCCUCAAGGAGCUUACAAUUUGUAAUGUUUCAUUUAUUUUUGGCAAGAACCAUGAGGGUCUAUAGUUGGGACACAGACCCCAGGGAUGAGGGCACGCAGUCCAGAGGCUGUAUAUGCUUGAGGGAAANNNNNNNNNNNNNNNNNNNNNNNNNNNNNNNNNNNNNNNNNNNNNNNNNNNACAGCAGCUGCACCAGGGCCUGAAGCAGGUAGGAGUACAGACAGGUGAGAUCUCAAAAUGAUCAACAUGGCUGGUGUGCUGAGUCCAGACCAUCACGUGACUGCUAACAGCGAUCCAUGAGAAGUUCUGAAAUCAGGGCAAAACCAAAAUGAACUGCAGGAGUAGAGGACCUGAUUGUCAUCAGUGUGAGUUAGAGGACAACCACCUGGGGUUUAGAGUGCUGACAGGUUUGGGAUGAUGACUGCAGGCUAUGCUGUGACCUGCAAAGGAAGGUCACAGACCUCUAUCCCUUAGCCCUGCCGAGCCUACUCAAGGUCACUGGCCUCAGCUCCCAGGUUGGCUAGUGGGGCUCAGGUGAGCACAGAGCAAACUAUUCAUGGCUUUGGGGUCAGAGGGUGCUAAUUAGCUGUAUGAACUUGGACUUGUUAUUUCACCUCUCUGAGUCUUAGUUCCCGCCCCUGCAAAGGCCUGACCAGUCAGAGGGCUGCUGGACAGGCUCAGGAACAGGAGGUCUGGGUUCCCAGGGGAGGCAUUCAGCGGUGAUGCCUGAUGGAAGCAAGAUAAACGGUCAGGCAGAGGCCUGCAGCGCUGAGUUGCAUAAUCUCAGGCCAGCCGGCCCUGUUCUCUCAUAAUAGCAAAGAGGGAAAUUCCUCCCACAUCACUGCCGGCAUGGAAGGGGGCGGGGGAUGGGGUGGAUGCACCCUGCCUGUACCCCCUCUUAAUAGGCGGCACGGGGAAGGGUCCACUCCGAAACUGACCUGAGUGCUGCUGAGCAUGAAGCCCACCAGGCGAAAUCCCCAGCUCAGAAACAUCUCUUUAGGAAAUGUUCCUGUCCUCUCACUGCCCUCCCCAUCCUCCUCCCGGCAACCAACCCUGCCUCCCCAGAAAGAAUGUGGCUUCAAGUGUUCGGGGAAAAGCUAGGUCCAGACCCCUCCAUGAAGACAACAGCACUUGUGUCUGUGGUUUGGGCAGAAGCCAGUGUGGAAAUGUCCCAGCUUCUGAGGGUGCAGGAGGAGAGCUAGGGCUUUUGCUCUUUGCAGAGCCCUUGCUGGGGAUAGAGUGGCUGCCGAGAAGGGCCCCAAAGCCCCUAAGUGGGAAGGGGUGUCAGGAGACUGCUGUUCUCUGUUGAUGGAAGAAAGAUGCAAGCUUCCAGAGGCUGGCUGGGCAGAGGGUGGGGCUGGCAGCCGCACGGGUGGGAAGGCCCAGAUUGUAAGCAGGCAGAGGCUCUGGUCCACAUCCCAGCCUGCAGCCUGAGACUUAGGCCAGAGGAGGAGGAUGCUGGCGGAGUGGGACGUGCUCAGUGAGUGAGGCAGCUGUAGGCCCGGCUCUGCCUCUAGCUAGGUCUGACCCUGGCGAGUCACCUCUCCAUCUGCACUGCAGUUUCCUCGGGUAGACAGUAAGGGGGCUGACACCCCAGAGCUCAGGAGACUUGCAGCUCCAAGCAAGUGGAAAAAAUGGGCAGGCAAGAACUCCAAGACGAAACAAUGGAAAGCAGGGACUGGAGAAGAUACCUGUGCGCCCAUGUGUGCAGCAGCCUUAUUCACAACAGCCGAAAGGUGGAAACAGCACCCAUGUCCACUGCCUGAUGAAAGGCUCUACAAAACAUGGUGGAGGCAGACAGUGGAAUACUAUUGGAAAAGGAAUUCUGAUACAUAUGGUAACUUGGGGGAACCACUGUGGUGAGUCAAAUAAGCCAGUCACAAGCAGACAAAUACUGUAUGUUUCCACUCAAACGAGGAACCUAGAAUAGUCAAAACCAUAGAGACAGAAAGUAAAAUGGUGGCUGCUGGGGGUUGGGAACAGCGGUUGUUGUUUAAUAGGUACGGUGCUUCAGUUGGAGGAAACUGAAAACGUUUUGAAGACGGAUAAUGGUUUGAUGGUUGCAAAGCAAUAUGAAUAUACUUAAUGCCACAGAACUGUCCACGUAAACAUGCUUAAGAUGGUCAGUUUUAUGUUAUAUAUAUUGAAAAAAAAAAACAAAAAAUUAAAAACAAAACGCCAGGACUCUGACUAAGGCUUGGGUCUUCCUGAUCCCCGAAGCCUGAAGACAAGGUACGGGGAGUCAUGCAGAUGACAGCCAGGGUAAAGAGGGGUCCAAAGUCACAGACCUGAAGAAGGGGCAGGAGGGCCAGAAGGCAGGGAGCAGAUGUAACCCCGAUGCAGAGGGGUGGAGCCAAGAAGCUGAACAAGAGAUGCUGCCAGAGUUGGGUCCUUAACAGUGGAAGGUGAGACAAAGGUCCCAAACCCUUGUGGGAAAGAACUCAGAGCAGGCUUGCUCCAAAGUUGGGGGCCCCACAGUCAUGGAGAGCCUGGCUGCUGGCCCCGGAGUCGGCCAUCUCCUGUCUCUUAGAUUCUGAGGGGACCAGAGCAAUGAGACCCCUUGAAAGAAGACAAGAAAUUGGUUUGUGAGUGUGAAGCCUGUGAGCAUCCUCAGUAUGGAAGUCACAGAGAAGGCCUCCUGAGCCAGCUUGAGCAUCUCUGCUCAGAGAUCCAGGUCAGAACCAGAGUCCCUGGUCCUCUGAAGGACCUUGGCAGGGAGCUGGAAUGGCAGGUGAGUGGGUCUGUUGACCCUGCUCAUCCAGGCCACCUCUCCUUCUCCUUGGGACUUCAACUCCGUUCCCAGAGGCACAGGGAUCAGCUGUGUGAAGUGAGAGAGGUUUUACUACCCAGCCAUACUAAUAGAGCAUAGGAGACAGAGGGGAGUUCACACCAUGGCUGGCCGUGUGACUCUCUCUGUGCUUUAUUUGGUUGCCCCAGGGCAUAUGCAGUUCCCCAGCUAGGGAUCAGAUCUGAGCCAUAGCUGCCAAGCUGUAGUUAUGACCUAAGCCGCAGUGGAGGCAAUGCCAAAUUCUUAAUGCACUGUGCUGGGCCGGGGAUCGAACCUGUGUCCUAGUGCUCCCAAGAUGCUGCUGAUCCUGUUGUGCCACAGCAGGAGCACCUUUGCUUUAUUUUUACAGCAGUAACAGCAGCAGCUACCACAAUAGCGCUUGUGAGGAUUAAAAGUGAGGAGCAUGGGCCUUCCACACAGUAACUGCCCAGCAGAUACCAUUACGGUCUCACCCUCUUCAUCAUCACCACCAAGCUGCCAUGUUUUUGCUCUUUUGGAAUUUGGAAGAUGAGAAACCCCAGGGUUCAGAGCACUUGGCAGAAUUCCCAGCCUUCGCACCUCCCCCAGGAUGCGUGGCCUCUGGGGAAGCAGGAUGUCAGGGAAAGUCCCGUCCAUCCCAGGGUUCCGAACCACCCAGAAGAGCUCAGCUCCGGUAAGGUCCAGAGUUACACCCAAGGCUAAAUAUAGCCAAUCUUUGAUUAAAAUUCCCCAAAUGUAGGACAUCCUUUUAAAUGCCAGACUAAUUAGUAUUUAGCUAUAAUGCUUUAAGCUUUCGUUUUCUUUUUUCUCUUUUUUUUUUCUUUUUUUUUUUUUUUUGGUCUUUUUAGGGCCGCCCCCAUGGCAUAUGGAGGUUCCCAGGCUAGGGGGCAAAUCGGAGCUAUAACUGCUGGUCUCCACCACCGCCACAGCAACAUCAGAUCUGAGCCACGUCUGCGACCUACACCACAUGGCAAUACUAGAUCCUUAACCCACUGAAUAGUGCCAGGGAUCGAACCCAAGUCCUCAUGGAUACUAGUUGGGUUCGUUACUACUGAGCCACCAUGGGAACUCUUAAGCUUUCCUUUUCUUAAUACGAGACCUAAUGGAGCAGAGACAUGUGCUAAUCUGAGAACCCAGUAUCUACUCCUGAGGCAGUCCUGGGUGGACCAGACCCUAAAUCAGACCUGAUUUUGUUGGCAGGAUCAGAGGGUACAUCUAAGGGGAGCUCAGAGCUUCAGAACACAAGCCUUGCAAAUUCACACUUAGAAAGUAAUGCUGUGGCCGUACUUCCUCUCUCUUGCCUCCACUGCUAAGUUUUCCCAAAAUCUUCCUAAGAAGCACCCUGAAGGAAAAAAAAUUUUUUUAGAAAACAACUUUGGGUAAUCUAAUCCCCAAUAUUACUUUUUAAAAAGUUAGACACAUUAAUAUGGCUGUAGAGAGAAAUAAUAUUUACCAAGCUCCACCUAAGUGUCAGGCAUGAGGUUAUCUUCUUCCAUGUGUUAUGCAAUGGUUUUCAGAUUGUUUUCUGUGGAAAUAGCCCAGAAUUACAUGCAAAAAAGUGGUCCUUUGGGAAAUCCUAAGGACAAGAUAUCCUUCCAAUAUAAUUUUUUUUUCUUUUUUUUUU
ensembl:lncRNA